rnacentral:misc_RNA from 1 species
UUAACUUAUUUAGCUAAUUGCUCAGACUACAAUCUUCAGACAGAGUUCGAGAUGUCUUCGGCGGGCGCGGGCCCGGGGGCAGAUGCCCCCCGGCGGCCAUACGGCGGGCCCGCCGAAGCAACAAGGUAUAAUAAACACGGGUGGGAGGUUGGACCCAGAGGGCCCUCACUCGGUAAUGAUCCUUCCGCAGGUUCACCUACGGAAA